rnacentral:tRNA from 1 species
GUGUAGCUCAGUGGUAGAGCGCUUGCCUGGCUUGCAUGAAGCUCUGGGUUCAACACCUAGUGC